rnacentral:rRNA from 1 species
UUUGUAAGCUCCGGCUAACUCCGUGCCAGCAGCCGCGGUAAUACGGGGGGAGCAAGCGUUGUUCGGAUUUACUGGGCGUAAAGGGCGCGUAGGCGGCCAGCGCAAGUCNGUUGUGAAAUCUCCGGGCUUAACUCGGAAAGGUCAACUGAUACUGCGCGGCUAGAGUGCGGAAGGGGCAACUGGAAUUCUCGGUGUAGCGGUGAAAUGCGUAGAUAUCGAGAGGAACACCUGCGGCGAAGGCGGGUUGCUGGGCCGACACUGACGCUGAGGCGCGAAAGCCAGGGGAGCGAACGGGAUUAGAUACCCCGGUAGUCCUGGCCUUAAACGAUGGAUGCUUGGUGUCUGGGGUUUAUAGUCCCCGGGUGCCGUA